UUUUUUUUUUUUUACGUUUUGAGUAUCAAAUGCACCAAAUGUUGAAAACAUUUUUACAAGGAAAUUGAGAUAAAAGGAAAAUAACUAUCAUAUGCCCAAUCACUGUUUCUUAAGGUAUGGCACCUCUCUGAAAUUUGGAGACAGAGAAUAGGAUUGGAUAUUCAAUUGGUUGAGCAAAUUUAGUUUUAAACUCAUUGAUUUUGAGAAGACUAACUUUCUCAAACUAAGUUUCCCAAAAGUUAUAGACCCUUUCCAAGGAAUGGGAAAGGAAAUGUAACAAAGCAUAGUCAACGCAAUAAUCGGAGUAAAGUAGAACAGCACAGUUCUACCACUUUGAGAGGUAAGUCAUCUUGCCCAAGAAUGGAUUGGCUGCCCAAAUUGCUCCAUUAAAAAAUGCAACAAUCAAGUUGUAAGGCAACCAGUUCACUAGAGAGUUGAAGGUAGCAAGUCAAGUCCCUCGUCUACCACACUAUAUGUUCGCUUAGGUCUUGGUGCCUGAACACUGCAGAACAGACACUGAUAUUUUCCAACCAUGAAUAUUCAGUUGGCAAAAUAGACUGGAGGCCAAGGGACUGCCAUUUUAUUAUGCUACUGCAUCUAACCCAAGACAACAGUGGGGAAGUGUUAUUAAUUCACCAGUCAUACGGCUUAAAUUCUCCAGCCUAAAACAAACAACCUCUUCUCCAGACUCUGAGGCCCUUCCCUGCUAACCAAAUAUGACCGGAGGCAGGGACCCAUGCCUCUACAAUCAUCCUUUCUCCUUGUAUGUUCCUAUUAGUAGGAUUGUCCCUAGAAUUCAUAGUGUAGGAUUUUCCCUCAGAAAAUCUAAUGUAUUCUUCUUCCCCUGACUGGCAAACACAUACUUUUAGAAUAAAGUACACCAUCACUGUAUUCACUCAAAUUUGACUCCCGCUUGCUUCUCACUCUUGCAUCCAAAUCUGUGAUUAAUACCCUCUUAUUUUUGUUCAUUUCAGUAUGAAUCUCCCUUUAUCAUAGCAUCUGUAUCACUAACUUGUGAGUCAGUGUGUUCAUUUGUUUGUAUGUUUUAUUUGUAUACUGUGUUUUUUGACUCAUCUAUCAUUAGGUGUUUGAUUUCAGCAAAUGUCUUCAAUACAUUUAUGUUGCUGGUGGCUUUCAGGGUACCUGAAACAUUGUAGAAGUUCAAUAUAUUGGGGUAGAAUGCAGUAAUUUAAGUUUACUUUUUUCUUUAAGCAUCACUAUGUGAUAGCUACCCUGCUGGGUGACUUACGGAUGUACUCACUCUACCUUGGACAACAAACUUACUAUAUUUGUAGGGUGUCUUUCUAAUUAUCUGCCUGGCAUCUAUCCCUGCUUAGUUUCUGCUGCCAGAGGCUCUAGUUUGUUUGGGCAUCCACCACUCUCAAGUCCUUACUGACCUCAGCUAAGCACUGUGGUUUCAAUACACCUGCCAGAGAGAUUGGAUUAGAUGUGAAAUGUGUGAUGCAAUUCUGUUUAGGGAGUAAUUAGUAGGAACUUUCUGUAGGGC
rnacentral:lncRNA from 1 species